rnacentral:other from 1 species
AAUGAUCUGCUGUGUGCGCGGAACUGGUCUAUGUUGAGCCAACAGUGAUUUAAUUGGAAGAAGUUCUUUUUAUGAAGUGUAGACCUGUCACUUAUUAUUAAUAUUAACUGAUGGGUACCAGAAGUAAAAAGGCGGAAUCCACCCGUGGGAGAACGGGUUCAAAUAUACCAGCAUAAACGGCACAGCGGUUUAUAU